UACGAAGGGUGCAAGCGUUAAUCGGAAUUACUGGGCGUAAAGGGUGCGUAGGCGGUUCGUUAAGUCUGUCGUGAAAUCCCCGGGCUCAACCUGGGAAUGGCGAUGGAUACUGGCGAGCUAGAGUGUGUCAGAGGAUGGUGGAAUUCCCGGUGUAGCGGUGAAAUGCGUAGAGAUCCGGAGGAACACCAAAGGCGAAGGCAGUGUCCUGGGGAGUACCUGACGCUCAGGUGCGAAAGCCAGGGGAGCGAACGGG
rnacentral:rRNA from 1 species